rnacentral:rRNA from 1 species
CGGCAGGCCUAUCAUGCAAGUCGCUACGGCUCUUCGGAGCAGUGGCGGACGGGUGAGUAACGCGUGGGAACGUGCCCAAAGGUACGGAACAACUGAGGGAAACUUCAGCUAAUACCGUAUGUGCCCUUAGGGGGAAAGAUUUAUCGCCUUUGGAGCGGCCCGCGUUGGAUUAGCUAGUUGGUGGGGUAAAGGCCCACCAAGGCUACGAUCCAUAGCUGGUCUGAGAGGAUGAUCAGCCACACUGGGACUGAGACACGGCCCAGACUCCUACGGGAGGCAGCAGUAGGGAAUCUUGCGCAAUGGGCGAAAGCCUGACGCAGCCAUGCCGCGUGAAUGAUGAAGGUCUUAGGAUUGUAAAAUUCUUUCACCGGGGAAGAUAAUGACGGUACCCGGAGAAGAAGCCCCGGCUAACUUCGUGCCAGCAGCCGCGGUAAU